rnacentral:lncRNA from 1 species
UCCUCCUUUAUUCCACGCUAUUGACCCUUCAAAUGCCUUUACUUUUCCACCAAUGUCACAAACUCAAUUUCCUUCUUUUAUUGAUACACCACGACAUCCAUUAGAAUUUACUCCAUGCCAAAAACAUUCUAAGAAAUCCAUUACUUAUUUUCUAUCUCCUCAGUAUAAGCUUACCUUAUUGAAAGCACUAACUCUCAUUUGUGUUUUUCUUUCUUAACCCUUUUCUAAGAUCCCACUUUGUCUAUC